AUCAUCUGGAGAUCUUGUUAAAAUGCAGAUUCCUGUUCUGAGCCUGAGAUUCUGCACCUCUAACAAAGUCCCAUGUGAUGCUGA
rnacentral:pre_miRNA from 1 species